rnacentral:rRNA from 1 species
UACGUAGGGUGCAAGCGUUAAUCGGAAUUACUGGGCGUAAAGCGUGCGCAGGCGGUGAUGUAAGACAGGUGUGAAAUCCCCCGGCUUAACCUGGGAACUGCGUCUGAUACUGGGGAGGCUUGAGUAUGGGGAGAGGGAUGUAGAAUUCCAGGUGUAGCGGUGAAAUGCGCAGAUAUCAGGAGGGAACACCGGUGGGCGAAGGCGGGUCUCUGGGCC